rnacentral:rRNA from 1 species
GGUCACGGAUGGGCGUGCGGCGCAUUAGGUAGUUGGUGGGGCAACGGCCCACCAAGCCGACGAUGCGUAGGGGUUCUGAGAGGAAGGUCCCCCACAUUGGAACUGAGACACGGUCCAAACUCCUACGGGAGGCAGCAGUGAGGAAUAUUGGUCAAUGGCCGGAAGGCUGAACCAGCCAAGUCGCGUGAGGGAAUAAGGCCCUACGGGUCGUAAACCUCUUUUGCCAGGGAGCAAUGCCGUCCACGUGUGGACGGAAGGAGAGUACCUGGAGAAAAAGCAUCGGCUAACUCCGUGCCAGCAGCCGCGGUAAUACGGAGGAUGCGAGCGUUAUCCGGAUUUAUUGGGUUUAAAGGGUGCGUAGGCGGCCUGCCAAGUCAGCGGUAAAAUUGCGGGGCUCAACCCCGUACAGCCGUUGAAACUGCCGGGCUCGAGUGGGCGAGAAGUAUGCGGAAUGCGUGGUGUAGCGGUGAAAUGCAUAGAUAUCACGCAGAACCCCGAUUGCGAAGGCAGCAUACCGGCGCCCGACUGACGCUGAGGCACGAAAGUGCGGGGAUCAAACAGGAUUAGAUACCCUGGUAGUCCGCACAGUAAACGAUGAAUGCUAGCUGUCCGGGGGGAUUGACCCCUGGGUGGCACAG